rnacentral:rRNA from 1 species
GCGCAGCAGUUGCGAAAACUUGUCAAUGCACGAAAGUGUGAACGGGCUACCCCGAGUGCCGUCCGCUGAGGAUGGCUUUUCUCUGCUGUAAGAAGGCAGAGGAAUAAGGAGAGGGCAAGUCUGGUGUCAGCCGCCGCGGUAAUACCAGCUCUCCGAGUGGUAGGGAUGAUUAUUGGGCUUAAAGCGUCCGUAGCUGGCCUUUCAAGUCUCUUGUUAAAUCCAGCGAUUCAAUCGUUGGACUGCGGGAGAUACUGUUAGGCUAGGGGGCGGGAGAAGCCGACGGUAUUUCCGGGGUAGGGGUAAAAUCCUAUAAUCCCGGGAGGACCACCAGUGGCGAAGGCUGUUGGCUAGAACACGCCCGACGGUGAGGGAUGAAAGCUGGGGGAGCGAACCGGAUUAGAUACCCGGGUAGUCC